UACGUAGGGUGCGAGCGUUGCCCGGAUUUAUUGGGCGUAAAGGGCGCGCAGGCGGCCACGCACGUCCGUUGUGAAAUCGCCCGGCUCAACUGGGCGGGGUCAGCGGAUACGGCGUGGCUGGAGCAAGCUAGGGGGCAAUGGAAUUCCCGGUGUAGUGGUGGAAUGCGUAGAUAUCGGGAGGAACACCAGUGGCGAAGGCGGUUGCCUGGAGCUUUGCUGACGCUGAGGCGCGAAAGCCAGGGGAGCAAACGGG
rnacentral:rRNA from 1 species